UACGUAGGGUGCAAGCGUUAAUCGGAAUACUGGGCGUAAAGCGUGCGCAGGCGGUUAUGCAAGACAGAUGUGAAAUCCCCGGGCUUAACCUGGGAACCGCAUUUGUGACUGCAUAGCUGGAGUACGGCAGAGGGGGAUGGAAUUCCGCGUGUAGCAGUGAAAUGCGUAGAUAUGCGGAGGAACACCGAUGGCGAAGGCAGUCCCCUGGGCCUGUACUGACGCUCAUGCACGAAAGCCGUA
rnacentral:rRNA from 1 species